rnacentral:rRNA from 1 species
UACAGAGGGGGCAAGCGUUGUUCGGAAUUACUGGGCGUAAAGGGUGUGUAGGCGGUUGUUUAAGUUUGGUGUGAAAUCUCCCGGCUCAACCGGGAGGGUGCGCCGAAUACUGAAUGACUAGAGUGCGGGAGAGGAAAGUGGAAUUCCUGGUGUAGCGGUGAAAUGCGUAGAUAUCAGGAGGAACACCGGUGGUGUAGACGGCUUUCUGGACCGUAACUGACGCUGAGACACGAAAGCGUGGGUAGCAAACAGG